UGUAAUCCAAGCGGGGAUUUAAGAAACCGGGUGGUCCCUUAAGUCUGUAAGUUCCUUCUUGUGCUGAAGGCUAUGCAGAGCUUUAAGCUCUUAAUGUGGCUAUGACACAGGCUGGUUUUGGAAAAUUUCAGACUGCUUGCUUCUGACUACAGCUGGAAUUUGGGAACUCUUAUCCAAGAUGGUCCAGUGCAGAGCCAGAGAGAAGCCUUCACCCAGGCUGAGCCCUUGGAGCGGGGCACGUGAGGUCUCUGAGCCCUCUUAGAGCUGAUCCCAGAGCUGCCCUUCACCCUAAGAAUGCCCCACAGCUGCAAAGGAGGUACCAGAGAAGUGCUGUCCUGGGUUCAUGUUAGAUUUACAGGAUUUCAUUGAAAAAAAAUCAUAAGUAAACCACAAAAGUGACUUUCACCCUAAAAUCACAAGCUGUAGGCCAACUGUCAGGAGGAAAGGACAAGAAAGGAAAAAUAAAUGAUGCUUCAGCACCAGAAGACUCAACUCUUUGGAGCUGACAUGACAUUCAAAAUAGUUCCAGAAACAAGGAUGAGCUGUUGCUUGAGGCUGAUGGGACUAUAAAGUGGAGUUGGCAGCAAAAUGGACAAAGGUCCAGAUUAUUCUUCUUUCCCGUUAUCUACAAACACUUUCCCCCCCUACC